UACGUAGGGGGCAAGCGUUGUCCGGAAUCAUUGGGCGUAAAGCGCGUGUAGGCGGCUCGAUAAGUCUGCUGUGAAAGUCCAGGGCUCAACCCUGGGAUGCCGGUGGAUACUGUCGAGCUCGAGUCCGGAAGAGGCGAGUGGAAUUCCUGGUGUAGCGGUGAAAUGCGCAGAUAUCAGGAGGAACACCAUGGCGAAGGCAGCUCGCUGGGACGUGACUGACGCUGAGACGCGAAAGCGUGGGGAGCAAACAGG
rnacentral:rRNA from 1 species